CCAGGCUGGGUCACUGUGACUUGUCCCCUGGACUCUGAGGACACAGACACAGAAACAAGAAGCAGCUUGGUGGGUUCGUCAGCUUCAUUUCAGAGGCAGCGAGUCGACAGAGGAGUUUGAUGGUCCGGACUUUACCUGUGAAGCAGCAGCAGAGCAGAGUCCAGACGAGGACGGAGAGUCAGAGAGUUGUGUCCUCAGAGGUUUUUGUACGACGGCUCAGUGAGUGUGUGUCACUGUGGUACACGUGUGGUGCAGGAACCAGACUGGAUGUUGGAAGUGAUGUCCGUCCCACCCUGACGGUGCUGCCCCCCUCCAGCGAGGAGCUGCAGCAGGGGACGGCCUCGCUCAUAUGCCUGGCCAACAAGGGCUUCCCCUCCGACUGGAGUCUGUCCUGGAAGGUGGACGGCAGCAGCGGCGGCGGCGGCGGCUGGGAGGCGAGCAGCAGCCCCGGGGUGCUGGAGAACGACGGCCGCUACAGCUGGAGCAGCACCCUGAGGCUCCCUGCUGAGCAGUGGAGGAAGGUGGGCUCUGUGACCUGCGAGGCCUCCCAGGGCUCCCAGACUCCGCUGUCAGAGACACUGAGGAGAGACCAGUGUCCCCAGUCCUGACCUGGGACUCUGCUGCUGGUCUCCGUCUCUUCGCUGCUCUGUGUCUGAUCCGAAUCAUUCUUCAUCGACUGAUGACUUCUUGCUUUGAAUGAUUCUGGUUCUUUGACCUGUUUCAGAUAAUAAAGAUCUUUGUGUUUGAAUCGAAAA